rnacentral:lncRNA from 1 species
GACAGAGACAUGCAAACUGAGAGAAGGAGAGUAAAGCUAGUAGACAGAGCUCAAUAGAAGAAAGAAAUUAAACAUAAAAAUCAUAUUUUUUUCUAAAGCCAACAAGCAACAAAGUCAAUAAAGAGCGAGAGGACAUAAUCAGCAAAAACUAAAUAUUCAGGUCAAGAGAAAAAAAUGAUGCCACAGUUGUGAAGACAGAAUACACAGAACAGAAAGAAACUGCAGAUAUCGUAUAUGGAAGAAGAUGCCAUUUGUGAGAUGAAGAACUUGGAUUGAGAGCUUCUAUCAGAGCUUCAUUCAAAGGUACACCUUGUAUGUACUAACAAUAGUAUUAGAAAGACAUGUCCAACAUAUAUAUUGGGUUAUGCAUUGAACUAUUUAUUGUAGACAAAUGAUAAAAGAAGGCAAAAACUGCACAUUUGAAAUAUUUCCCCAUAUUUUUCAUAGCUUCACUAUUUUGAUCUCGAGUUUGCAAUUCCAUUGUCAGUUCUCUACUUUUUCCAGAUUAGUUUACCCCACUUGUUAAAAAUAACUUUAUGUGCAUACAAACAGUCUUUGUUAUCUGUUCUCUUACCUUAAACUUGGUCAUUUAACUUCAUUUACUUUCACACAAAUGUAUUUUUAUUUAAAAAAUAAAUAAAUAUAUAUAUAUAUAUAUACACACACACACACACACACAAUAUUAAAUCACAAAAGAUUACAUUAUGUGAUCACUAAUACAUAAAGAGGGAUUCAUAGUUACGUCAUUCUAUUGCCCGGCUAAUCCUGUUUUAUUUUAACAAUAUAUGUAAUUAAAGCAAAUAUUUAUCUUUAACCUAAAACCAGGUUUAAAAAGUUAGGCUAAAAUAGCAGAGUUUGAAAUACCUCCAAAUUUAAUGAAAUGCUAAAAUAUAUUUUCUAAAUUUGGUUGUUGCUGUUUAGUAAAAAAAAACAAAAAAAAACCUCAUUAUGCCAUGACCUAUACAUUUAUUAGAGCAAUUAAGCAAAUUAUAUUCACAAUAAUAAUGAUGCCUACUUACAGCUUGUGUUUUCUGUGUUUUAUGGGUGAAUUAGUGAUGCAGCAGUUAAUUAUUUUCUAGAAUAUAAGGAAUAAAUUAAAAAUCUGAAAUGUUUAAAGCAGAUGAUUAUUUUAUCUAUUACCAUUUUAUAUUGUAAUUUUGCACGAUAGACACUCUGGCCCCAAUAUAUAUAUUUGUAUACUUCUGUCAAUGUUCUAUAUGAAGCCCCUGUACAUGUUGGUGACAUAUUAAUAAAUGCUAAUAAUUGUGAUAGCUGGUAUACUGGUCUGUAUUUUAUAAAGUUUGUAUGAAGGUCACGGGCAUAUAAUAAGUCUAUAAUGCCCACUGUGAAUUUUGUUCACAUGUCAAUCUAAUUUCCUUUUUAUAACUUAGUGCAGUUCUUUAUCGAAUCUUAAAUGCACAUAAUGAGCCAGGUUUUGUCAUUAUCUGAAUCGGAACAAAAUUGAGAAAUUCCUAAACCUCGAAUUGUUGAGGUGCCAAAGCAAGUGUUUUGAGAAUCACUGCUUAUCUUAUCUCCUACUCACACCCAUUGUUAGAUAAAGCAAAGAGCUUGUUUUUCUGUUGAGUUCAGGCUGACUUAUUUACGGUCUAAGAUGGCGCCCAUCUCUCUAUAUUCCUUUAUAUCAGUGAAAUAAGACAUCUGAGGUGGAAACCAACAAAACAAGACUCCACACAUACCUAAUCCUAUGCAUAACUGUUCCUGAUAUCAUAUCCAAUUGUAGAGGGCUACAGAAUUUGCUGGCGCUAUAUAAAUAAUAACUUAAUAAUAAUAUACACAAAUACUGUAUUUACUCAAAUCUAAUGCGCACUUUUUUUGAAAAAUAAAGUUUCCAAAAUGUAAAUGCGCAUUAGAUUCGAUGGCAAAUUACAUUCGGGGCAAAUUUCAUUCCGGUGAAUAAAAACUGGUGAAUUCAAACAGACUAAUUAAAACUGUUGAAUUCAAAUAGGAGAAAUCACACAGGCGAAUUCACACAGGCGAAUUUCAUUCUGGCGAAUUCACACAGGCAAAUUUCUUCUUGAAAGAGGGCUUAAGAAAGAAUAGACUUAAAAGGACACUGUAGGCACGCAGACCACUUCAGCUAAUUAAAGUAGUCUAGGUGCUGUGACCCUUUUGCACUUAGUGCGGCAAAGUAAAACAUUGCAGUUCCAGAGAAACUGCAAUGUUAACAUUGCAGCUCUAAGUCUGCCCUCUGUGGCUGUCUAACAGACAGGCACUAGAGGGCUUCCUGAAUCCAAAUGGAAUUUUGGUCCGUUUUCUGACGCUGGACGUCCUCACGGACCUCCAGCGUCAGAUUUUCCUCAUAGGAAAGCAUUGAAUAAUUGAAUAAUGCUUUCCUAUGGGUAGGUCUAAUGCGCGCGCGCACGGCCAUUGCCACGCAUGCGCAUUAGGUCUCCCCCGCCGGCUGACGUCAGCGGGGAGGAGCGUGGGCGAAGUCUGACCCAGCACCGAGGUACCUCAGUGCUGUAUUCAAGUGACUGAAGGGGAGGGGGGCCCCGAGGGAGGGGGGAACCUAUUAAACCUAUAGUGCCAGGAAAACAGGUUUGUUUUCCUGGCACUAUAGGAUCUAUUAAACAUGUAACACGAAAAUUUAAAUACCAUCAAUGUUACUUUGGUAUAUGGCAACAAACAUUUUCGUUGUAUAGUAGUAUCUUGUGUAAUGUGCGUUACAAUUGCCAGCAAAAACAUUUUUCAGCUUCCAGGUUUCAAAAAUUGAGGUUUGCAUUAGAUUCGAUGGCGCAUUAGUUUUGAGUAAAUGCAGUAUAUCAAACACUGUGUAUCACCAUUUACUAUGUACCACUAAGACACCAAACAGAAGGGGGUUCCCCUAUAUUGGACACUGGUUUUCUGUGUUCUACACCAAGGCCUACAAAAGAAAAGAAUGGCCAUGAGUGGGGUUUUGGGACAAAAGUAUGCUAUAUCUAUCAUUGUCAUUCUUAAUUUUAUUUUUUAUUUUUUAGUGUUAUUGAAAACAUAUACUGCCAAUUAUACAUAAUUUUUUAUUCUUGUCACUAAAUCCAUUACAGGGUAAUUUUUUUGCCUUCAUGCUGAAUAAUGUCUCAAAAUGUCCAAGGUGGUGAUAAUCCAGUCUUGAACAUGUGUCCUGAGUAGGAACUGACAUAUAAUAAUUAGGGGUUUUGUAGAUUUGAUAGGAACAUUUUUAUUAAAUUUAACAUUCUACCACAUCUUUCUUUAAGCAUCCAUAGUAUAAGAGUUUAUGGUUAAAGUUAACUAAUAAGCGAGAAGGUGUAUCAGGUAUUGGUAACCUAGACACUGCAGAGGUAGGAAACUAAAUUUCCCAUGACACUCAGCAAGAUUCAGAACUGUCCAUGAUUGAUGUAUGGUGACAGAAGACUCAACUAUAAUAAUAAUAAUAAUAAUAAUAAUAAUAAUAAUGAUUCUGUCUCUCUGCCCCCAUACAUAGUAACCUUGCCACACUCACCCUAUCACAGUAACCACCCACUUUACCCUGCCACAGUCACAUUCCAGUCACCCCCUACAAACAGUCAAAUUGCCAUAUGUUCAGUAUUCAUAAUAUAAGAUCUUAUGGUUACAGUUAGAAAAUAAUAGACAAGGUAUAUCACCCCACUCAUGCUUUUACAGUCACUUAUGCUGUCAAAUUUACCCUCGCCUGCACACUGACCCCAUCCCGCUCACCCUGUCAGAGUCAUCUUUCCACAUUUACCCUGCCAGUCAUUUUUAUACACAUUCAUCCACCCACACAACAGAGCCUAACCAUAAACACAAUGAAGACAUCAAGAUACCAAGCAGUUCCCCUCAUACAUAAAUCCCUCCUAUAGACUGUAAGCUUGUUUGAGCAGGGUUCUCUUCAACCUAUCGGUUCUGUAAGUUUUCUUGUAAUUGUCCUAUUUAUAGCUAAAUCCCACCUCUUGUAAUAUUGUAAGGCGCUACGGAAUCUUUUGGCGCUGUAUAAAUGGCAAUAAUAAUAAUAAUCAUAUUCCCAGCCUAAGCCGCAUCCCCCACAGAUCUGCUCCCAGACACAGAUAUACAAAUUCACAAACACGAGGAUACUGACAACCAGACUAACACUCUCAGGCAUAUAUACAGCAUCAGUUUGUGCAUAUGUGUGCGUGUAUCAGAGUGUGCACAUAUGUGUAUUCAUCAGUGUGUAUAUGCAUGAGUGUAUUAAUGUGUGCAUAUGUCUAUGCAUGUAUUAGUACAUGUGUCUGUGUGUUCAAAGAGGCAACUUGCCUGCAAUGUGUCCCAUGUAUACAUAAUACAUUAAUUUAAUUUAUUUAUAAAAUAUUUUACCAGGAUGGAUACAUUGAUAUUUCUCUCAUUUACAAGUAUGUCCUGGGUCCACAAACCAUUGCAUUGUUACAAUAGGAUACAAUAUUACAAAAAAUACAAUAUAUAAACUAUAUAAACUAUAUAUAUAUAUACACAUACACACACACACACACAUAUAUAUAUAUAUAUAUAUAUAUAAAUUUAAUACAUAACAGGUAAUAAAUAUAUUCAACCAUGACAGGUGCAUUCUAUAUCUCUUAAAAGAUUUUAGAUUGAAUGAAGAUUUAACUGUGUCCCUGAGGUUAUUCCAUAAUUGUGGUGCUCUGUAGGAAAAUACAUGGGCCAUAUAAGUGCAUAUAUUUUGUCUUAGCUGUAACUUCAUUAUUUGGUAAAUGAUUUUUAAAAGUUUUUCAAAAUGUUUAUUUACAUUAAAUAAUGUUCUAUCUUUAUAUACUGAAACAAUAUAAUACAUUUAAACUAUGAUUUACUUUCCAUGUGAAUUCUGGUUGUGUAUUUUCACAAACAGCAUGAUAUUGAAGGAGUUAAUACAUCUUGUUGAGGGACAUUUUAGCUAUAUUCUGCAGUUAUUAUAUAUUCAUAAUUUAUUUAAUAUAGUUUGAGUUCAUUUAUCCCCCCUCCUCCUCCCUUCCCAAUCCCAAUUUUAAUACAUUAUUUUCUCAGUUCCAGAGGAUGGAACAAACAUUAUAUGAUUGGAACAGGGUUGAAAACAAGAAUAUUUUCUGUAACAGUGAAUCUGAUCGUCUUCAUU